rnacentral:sRNA from 1 species
AGAGCAGGCCUUUCAGGCAUCCUCUCCUAAACCUUUCCCGGCGGGCCCCAGUGGCCCGCCUUUUUUUUGCCCCUC